GCUCAGUAACACGUGGACAACCUGCCCUGAGGACUGGAAUAAUCCCGGGAAACUGGGGGUAAUUCCAGAUAUGCCAGGAGACCUGGAAUGGUUUCUGGCAGAAAGGCUCCGGCGCCUCAGGAUGGGUCUGCGGCCUAUCAGGGUAGUAGUGGGUGUAACGUACCUACUAGCCUACGACGGGUACGGGUUGUGAGAGCAAGAGCCCGGAGAUGGAUUCUGAGACAUGAAUCCAGGCCCUACGGGGUGCAGCAGGCGCGAAAACUUUACAAUGCGGGCAACCGCGAUAAGGGGACCUCGAGUGCUGGGUUACAAACCUGGCUGUUGGGCUGCCUAAAAAGCAGUCUAUAGCAAGGGCCGGGCAAGACCGGUGCCAGCCGCCGCGGUAACACCGGCGGCUCGAGUGGUAACCGCUGUUAUUGGGUCUAAAGGGUCUGUAGCCUGCCGGCUAAGUCUCUUGGGAAAUCUGGCAUCUCAAGUGUCAGGCUGCCAGGGGAUACUGGUCGGCUUGGGACCGGGAGAGGUGAGAGGUACCUCAGGGGUAGGGGUGAAAUCUUGUAAUCCUUGAGGGACCACCAGUGGCGAAGGCGUCUCACCAGAACGGAUCCGACGGCAAGGGACGAAAGCUAGGGGCACGAACCGGAUUAGAUACCCGGGUAGUCCUAGCCGUAAACGAUACUCGCUAGGUGUCGGCCACGGUGCGACCGUGGUCGGUGCCGUAGGGAAGCCGUGAAGCGAGCCACCUGGGAAGUACGGCCGCAAGGCUGAAACUUAAAGGAAUUGGCGGGGGAGCAC
rnacentral:rRNA from 1 species